rnacentral:rRNA from 1 species
UACGAAGGGGGCUAGCGUUGCUCGGAAUCACUGGGCGUAAAGCGCACGUAGGCGGAUUGUUAAGUCAGGGGUGAAAUCCUGGAGCUCAACUCCAGAACUGCCUUUGAUACUGACGAUCUCGAGUUCGGGAGAGGUGAGUGGAACUGCGAGUGUAGAGGUGAAAUUCGUAGAUAUUCGCAAGAACACCAGUGGCGAAGGCGGCUCACUGGCCCGAUACUGACGCUGAGGCACGAAAGCGUGGGGAGCAAACAGG